rnacentral:rRNA from 1 species
UACGUAGGGUGCAAGCGUUAAUCGGAAUUACUGGGCGUAAAGCGUGCGCAGGCGGUGAUGUAAGACAGAUGUGAAAUCCCCGGGCUCAACCUGGGAACUGCAUUUGUGACUGCAUCGCUGGAGUGCGGCAGAGGGGGAUGGAAUUCCGCGUGUAGCAGUGAAAUGCGUAGAUAUGCGGAGGAACACCGAUGGCGAAGGCAAUCCCCUGGGCCUGCACUGACGCUCAAGCACGAAAGCGUGGGGAGCAAACAGG